AAAACACGGUAUUCAUCCUCUCAUACACAUCCAGCAAGAAUUUAGGCACCCUUUGUCAAAUGAUCGGUGUAUACAAUAAAUUACUUUGUAACAUACUUUAUAGGGAAAAAAUCACCUAUAUAAAAUGAUAAUGCAAACAAUUGGAGAGCAUUAUCAAUUAUUGAAUAAUAAUAUGCUGCUAAAAAAUAGACAAAAAGGUAACCAUGAACCACCC
rnacentral:lncRNA from 1 species